GAUGAACGCUGGCGGCGUGCCUAAUACAUGCAAGUCGAGCGAACAGACGAGGCUCUUGCUCCUCUGACGUUAGCGGCGGACGGGUGAGUAACACGUGGAUAACCUACCUAUAAGACUGGGAUAACUUCGGGAAACCGUAGCUAAUACCGGAUAAUAUAUUGAACCGCAUGGUUCAAUAGUGAAAGACGGUUUUGCUGUCACUUAUAGAUGGAUCCGCGCCGCAUUAGCUAGUUGGUAAGGUAACGGCUUACCAAGGCAACGAUGCGUAGCCGACCUGAGAGGGUGAUCGGCCACACUGGAACUGAGACACGGUCCAGACUCCUACGGGAGGCAGCAGUAGGGAAUCUUCCGCAAUGGGCGAAAGCUUGACGGAGCAACGCCGCGUGAGUGAUGAAGGUCUUCGGAUCGUAAAACUCUGUUAUUAGGGAAGAACAAAUGUGUAAGUAACUAUGCACGUCUUGACGGUACCUAAUCAGAAAGCCACGGCUAACUACGUG
rnacentral:rRNA from 1 species